GAUGAACGCUGGCGGCGUGCCUAAUACAUGCAAGUCGAACGUACAGCGAAAGGUGCUUGCACCUUUCAAGUGAGUGGCGAACGGGUGAGUAACACGUGGACAACCUGCCUCAAGGCUGGGGAUAACAUUUGGAAACAGAUGCUAAUACCGAAUAAAACUCAGUGUCGCAUGACACAAAGUUAAAAGGCGCUUUGGCGUCACCUAGAGAUGGAUCCGCGGUGCAUUAGUUAGUUGGUGGGGUAAAGGCCUACCAAGACAAUGAUGCAUAGCCGAGUUGAGAGACUGAUCGGCCACAUUGGGACUGAGGCACGGCCCAAACUCCUACGGGAGGCUGCAGUAGGGAAUCUUCCACAAUGGGCGAAAGCCUGAUGGAGCAACGCCGCGUGUGUGAUGAAGGCUUUCGGGUCGUAAAGCACUGUUGUAUGGGAAGAACAGCUAGAAUAGGGAAUGAUUUUAGUUUGACGGUACCAUACCAGAAAGGGACGGCUAAAUACGUGCCAGCCGCCGCUGUAA
rnacentral:rRNA from 1 species